rnacentral:rRNA from 1 species
AGAUUGAACGCUGGCGGCAGGCCUAACACAUGCAAGUCGAGCGGUAGAGAGGUGCUUGCAUCUCUUGAGAGCGGCGGACGGGUGAGUAAUGCCUAGGAAUCUGCCUAGUGGUGGGGGAUAACGUUCGGAAACGGACGCUAAUACCGCAUACGUCCUACGGGAGAAAGCGGGGGACCUUCAGGCCUCGCGCCAUUAGAUGAGCCUAGGUCGGAUUAGCUAGUUGGUGAGGUAAUGGCUCACCAAGGCGACGAUCCGUAACUGGUCUGAGAGGAUGAUCAGUACACUACGUAGGAA